GUAUGAUCAACAUACAACUGGAAUCAGUACAGGCAACGCAUUUCGCACUAAAGAAAUGGUUACUAGUUAUUACACGUGAUCACAUCGUGUGUUUGAUUACGUAUCUACUCGCGAAGAGUUUUUCAUUUCUCUUUGAGAUAUAACAAACUUUUUAAUUCGCACAGUCUCCCUUGUGCUUGAAACAUUCACGUUUGAUCAGGUUCGAGAAGGUUUGCGCAAACGCGAAGCGUGACAAAAUGAGGCGAGGCUUUGGCGCGACGCGGCUAGGUGUGGCGGGGCAAGGCAAGGCGAAACGACCCGAUGCGUCUCUGUCUGCGUCCAAUGAAAGCUAUUUCCUGCUAGUGUUGCCAACGUGACCGCGCAAACACGUUUCACGAGCUAGUCGAGUGCGACAGUUUAUGCAUCGCCACGCCUCGACGUGUACUACUCGCGUUUUUAGUGCUUCGUACGGGUUAAUUGUUGACGAAAACCUAGCGGACAACGUUCUCCUAGAUGAUACGUUUUUUAUUGCAAUUCGACGAUAUUGUAAAUCCAGCUAUUUUAUCGUAAAUUCAUUUCGAGUGCAAAUCAAGCUGCGCAGUCUCGCGAAAUUGAUCACGUUUCGAGAUCACGGAAAGGAUAGGUAUCUCUGGAAAGGCGAAAUUGCGAAAUUCGAGAAGCAAACAUGGCCAAAGGCCGGUUUUGCCGGAUUGGAAAACGAUAGCGCUGCUAUGUGCGAACCUUCGCGCCUUAUAAGAAAAAAUUAAUGAUGAACAAUCAGGACAAGAUAG